GGGCUGGCAUUAGCUCAAGUGAUUGCUUCCUCACGCUGGACUUUCCAUCCUUCUAAUCCCUGCACUGGGGUUCGAGACCCGUGGGUGUUUUCUGACCCUUUA
ensembl:misc_RNA Vault Vault RNA